UAAUAAGUGUUUUCGGCACUUUUUAAAUCCAUAUCCACCUUGGGUGCAAUGUCGGUCGAUCUUCCUUAUUGGAGGAUGACCAAACAUCAACCUUUAUCUUUUAACCUUGUCUGAAAAAUAUUAUGAAUAACAAUUCAAAAUA
rnacentral:misc_RNA from 1 species